GUGAGUUCCAGUACAGCCAGGGGCAACACAGCGGAAACCCUGUCUUGAGAAACCAAAAAAAAAAAAAAAAAAAAAAAGAGGAACCUCCUCCAGUCACUGAGCAAAGGUCUUUUGGGCUGGUGCAUGAAGCAGGAAGUUACCUGAGCAUAGGAUCCUGAGGAAAAGGGGAGGAUGGGGCACGGAAGCAAGCUUCAUUAUGCUUUGUUUCAGGCCCUCUUGAUGAAGGAGCGGUCUGUGUAAACAUUUUACACAGUUCCUGCUCAGCCCUACGGGGGCUCCACAGGGGCAGCUUUGUUCCCUAUUUGCAUUAACUCCCCAAGGUGAAAUCGUCCUGCCUUUGCUUUGCAACUUUUCCUUUUUAUUUAGUGUCAAAAGUUCUGGCGUCCUGGUGGAGUUAUAAAUCAUUGCCAAUGUCAAGGUGA
ensembl:processed_transcript A430010J10Rik RIKEN cDNA A430010J10 gene